AGUGAACGCUGGCGGUAGGCCUAACACAUGCAAGUCGAACGGCAGCACAGUAAGAGCUUGCUCUUACGGGUGGCGAGUGGCGGACGGGUGCGGAAUACAUCGGAAUCUACUUUUUCGUGGGGGAUAACGUAGGGAAACUUACGCUCAUACCGCAUACGACCUGCGGGUGAAAGCAGGGGAUCUUCGGACCUUGCGCGAUUGAAUGAGCCGAUGUCGGAUUAGCUAGUUGGCGGGGUAAAGGCCCACCAAGGCGACGAUCCGUAGCUGGUCUGAGAGGAUGAUCAGCCACACUGGAACUGAGACACGGUCCAGACUCCUACGGGAGGCAGCAGUGGGGAAUAUUGGACAAUGGGCGCAAGCCUGAUCCAGCCAUGCCGCGUGGGUGAAGAAGGCCUUCGGGUUGUAAAGCCCUUUUGUUGGGAAAGAAAAGCAGCAGGUUAAUACCCCGCUGUUCUGACGGUACCCAAAGAAUAAGCACCGGCUAACUUCGUG
rnacentral:rRNA from 1 species